UACGUAGGGCGCAAGCGUUGUCCGGAAUUAUUGGGCGUAAAGAGCUCGUAGGCGGCUUGUCACGUCGGAUGUGAAAGCCCGGGGCUUAACCCCGGGUCUGCAUUCGAUACGGGCUAGCUAGAGUGUGGUAGGGGAGAUCGGAAUUCCUGGUGUAGCGGUGAAAUGCGCAGAUAUCAGGAGGAACACCGGUGGCGAAGGCGGAUCUCUGGGCCGACAUUGACGCUGAGGAGCGAAAGCGUGGGGAGCGAACAGG
rnacentral:rRNA from 1 species